AUGGCUUCUCAGCUUUUGGCUAAAAUCAAGUGUAGCAUGUGUUCUUACCAGUUUAACAUCUGGUGUAUCCUCUAUCUAACAACAAUAAAGUCAAUGAAUUUUUAUUUAAAGAGGGAGAAAGAUUAAGAGCCUUCUCCAUCUACCCUAUACAUCCACCUGGUAUUAGAAUGCCUCCCAGAGUGUACCAAAU